AUGCAUGUCUAAGUAUAAGCACUUGUACUGUGAAACUGCGAAUGGCUCAUUAAAUCAGUUAUCGUUUAUUUGAUUGUACUUUACUACAUGGAUACCUGUGGUAAUUCUAGAGCUAAUACAUGCGAAAAAUCCCGACUUCUGGAAGGGAUGUAUUUAUUAGAUUAAAAACCAAUGCGGGUCCUUGUGGCUCGUUUUCUUGGUGAUUCAUGAUAACUUUUCGAAUCGCAUGGCCUUUGCGCCGGCGAUGUUUCAUUCAAAUUUCUGCCCUAUCAACUGUCGAUGGUAAGGUAGUGGCUUACCAUGGUUGUAACGGGUGACGGAGAAUUAGGGUUCGAUUCCGGAGAGGGAGCCUGAGAAACGGCUACCACA
rnacentral:rRNA from 4 species